GAGCAGCUCCAUCAGAUCAUUGGUGAGGGUACUUGGAUUGAAAAUCCACUUGCAUGUGAAAUGUGAAGGUUUUAGAGCUGGAUUGAGGGCUUUGAUUCAUGGACUUGGAUUCGAGAUGUGC